UAAUACGAAGGGCCCGAGCGUUGCGCGGAAUCACUGGGCUUAAAGCGUACGCAGGUGGGCACAUAGGCGUCUUGUGAAAGCCCUCGGCUCAACCGAGGAACUGCUUGGCGAACCAUGUGUCUUGAGGCAGGUAGGGGUUGUCGGAACGAUAGGUGGAGUGGUGAAAUGCGUUGAUAUCUAUCGGAACGCCGAAGGAGAAAUCAGGCAACUGGGCCUGUCCUGACACUGAGGUACGAAAGCGUGGGGAGCGAACGGGAUUAGAUACCCCGGUAGUCCACGCCGUAAACGAUGUGCACUAGAUCGAGGGGGUUUUGACGCCGCUCUCGGUCGAAGCGAAAGUGUUAAGUGCACCGCCUGGGGAGUACGGCCGCAAGGCUA
rnacentral:rRNA from 1 species